rnacentral:lncRNA from 1 species
UAAGAUAGAUUUUUGAGGGCAAAUGUGCAAUGAAAAGGCUUUUGGGGGUCCCCAUAUCCACUAAUAGAAAAGAGGGUAGAUCCGCUCAGGAUGAGGUUAUCCUUUCUGAAUUGGAACCUGGAGAUUAAGCACUAGACUGAAUCGGAAGUUCAAGAUUCUUCGCAUGGCUGAAAGCGGACGGAUCGGUCGAUGAAAUUGACGAGCUCGACUCCUGCCACUGGCAUAGGAGAGGGAAAUGGGUAGCCGGAUAGGCGCGAAGGACAGGCUCAAAGAAUUUGAGUAGCUUUCUUAGGCUUUUUUCCUUGAAGAUUCACGAGUCAAAAGCUGGAACCCACGGAGCGGAAUAAAGAAUAGACCUCUCAGUAUCCGGAAAAGAAACUCAAACAAGAAUCAAGCCUAUAAAAGAAAUGAACAUAGUUUGAUUCUUUCAUUGCGUUUUCCCGGCUUUUUUGCUUCUAAAUAGGACUUUUUCUCAUAUAUAUAUCUAACGAUAAUUGUCUAAAAAUGACUGAUUUUUCAUGAUUUCUUGCUACUUCCCUAUGGGCAAAACCUAGCAUUUCCCUCCGCGGAUUCAUCUGAAAUCUAGCUCUUCAAUCUCCCAUAUUCACCUCUUUCUUUUGCAUUCCCAUUUUUUUCUUCUUUCAUUAUCGUUAAUGAGUUCAUUCUUCUUUUUUUCUUUUCUUGACUUUGAACAGGUCCGAAGGCGCAAUGAAAUAUGCGUUGAAUGAAUGAGUGCAACUCAAGAAAUCCAUCCAUAUUAAAUUAGAAUAGAAGGAGGACUAUUCGCUAUUCUAAAACCGGGGAGCCGAGUCAAUAUUCUAAACCUUCUACGUCCUUCGAUCGGAAUGUCUUGUGUUUCGGAAUGAAGUAGCUCGACGCUUUAGGCCCAUCCCCAUGGGGCUAGGUGGGCGCCCUAGAGAUGAUAGGCGAAAGGCCAGGCCCGUGGAUUAGGACUCCCUUUCUGGAGUUCUUGCAUCCGUCGUCGCUUUAGUUCUUGAGAAAGUAGUAGAUAAGCUAGCAAAUCUCGUUAAUGAUAUCAGAUUCCCACCAAAGUCAGUAAUUUCAGGGACUAAGUUGCUCGACGUUGAGGAUAGGCUUUCAGUAUUAUUUUGAGGUUCUGGCGCUCGACUAAAAGGAGUCCAAGAUUCAAGCGUAGCCUCCAGCUAGAAGAAGAUGCCCACGUAGCGGUGCGGAUUGAGAAGUUGCCGAUGCCGAAGCAUUAGAGAAAUAGAAGUACGAAGCCUCAGAGCAAGCCGGAGAGGAAGACGUAUCGAGGGUGCUGCUAACCAGUCUGAGAAUGAGCUUACUAAAGCAGUAGAGGCAAAGGCGAGAGGUAGAUAGAAUAGCUUUUUUUUGGAAUCAGACUCGUCCUACGCAGUAGUUUCUUUCUCUUUCAGGAGUUUCAGAGGAAGCGCAGCUGCUUUCCCUACCCCUUAAGAAAAGUCAAUGAAGAAGGCUAGGGAUCCUUUUCAUGAGAGCUGGUCACGGGGGAAGGUAGGAAGAUAGGAGAGAGACCGACUACGCGGUUGAGGCAGUUCGCCCAGCAGUCGCAGCAGUUUCUCUUUCAACAAGCUAUUUUUUCUCAAUUAGUGAUAUUCAGAAGGAUGAAAGUAGGAUGAAAUACGUGCGAAGCGACUCGACCCGAGAGGGAUUGAUUCAAUCAUAAAUCAGUAAGCCACGUAGCGGUACACGGCUCGUGCACAGGGAAAAACUCCCCAACAGAGUAAGCCCACGUAGCGGUGCCAGGUUCGGUUAAUUACGGAAAGUCCUCCUUCCUUCCAUAUGGAUGGUCCUACUUCCUUCCAUUAGACCACUAAUAUUUGACGUUUCAGAGUCCUUCGCCAUUAAAGGUGGAUAGGCUUUCUUUUAAGAAUGUAGAUGUAGAAAAGAUUCCACAAAUAUUUACGGGAGAGUUGGGGAAGUGAAAGUCUGAGUUUUUGCUUUUGCAGUUGCCGUAGUAGCUUCUUUUCUUGCUUAGAAAGAUCACUCAUAAUCCCUCAGAAAGUCAGCCUCCUAUGAUAUGACCCUAGUUCCCAGCUCGGAUCGAGACUGAAAGCUAGACAGAAAGAUCUCCAGCAACCCCACCUCUUGAAUAGAAAGUAGUGCUUAGGUCGCUGUGGCAGAAAGAGAAGUCGCAUCCGUCCUUGGCAUCAAGGGCAAAGGCAGUUUAUGCUGCUGUCUCCGUCCCCGUUCGUUGAAGGAUGCGGGAUCUGGGGAGUUAGAAGAGAAGCCCUUUUCUUUUAGUAGGGGAAUUCCGUAGAAUAAGUUCUUGCUGCAGAAGUAGGAGUUUCAGCUCUUGAAUGAUAAAAGGUGCCGCUCUAAAUCCAUACUUUCGACACGAAAGAACAUAGUAGUCCUUCUUCAAUGAGAUACUACUACUAAUAAUCUACUACCUCAUAAUCAUAAAUAGUACCUCGGGACCGCUCCGUCUUCCUUAUUUAUGCUUUCAUGCUAGGUGCUUAGCAGUUCGGACCCGUAGAGUAGCUUCAAAAAAAAGUAGGAAGUUUUUCCCUUCCUUGCUGCUUAGUUGUAGAGUAGCUCGGCAGCUAGGGUUUGAGAUCUUCUUCCUUCCAGUAAAGACAUUUCUUUCUAUCUUAUGAUUCUAUUCGAAGUUUUUGCUUUCCUUGAUCGGAAUAUCAUCAAAAAUGAGUAAGGAAAAGAGCUAGCCGAUUUCAUAUCACUAUUUCCUCUUCGAGAACAGCGGCUUUCUAUCUAACCUCUGAGAAUGACCUUGCGGCUAGUCCGGUCGAUAAUCGGCUUUUGCCUUAUUCUUGAUUCGGUAAUUCUUCAUCACAUUUCCCCACGUAGCGCUAAGUUGAUGUCAAAAGAAGCAGGAAAACCAUGAAAGAGGGACGGGAGGAUUUGAACCUCCUAGCUUUAGUGGCCUGACCACGCCCCUCCUCUCCUUCCUAACCUCACUCGAGUGGCUUUCGCACCUCUCCUUCCUUUUCUCUGUCGAGCAAUAGAGCAAUUCAAACCUAUCCUUCUACAACUCAGUCAUUACAUCGAACCUCUCCUUUACAGUCUCCCGUCUGAGAACCUGCACCGAUCUCGACUUCUUCCCCUUAGCGCGCACCUUUGGACUAUAGUCAUAGGGAAAAGCCAACUUCACAUUUGAGAAAGGCGUAAAGAACAGAACCAAGAAGGAAAAACAGAAAAUAGAAAGAAAGCCUUUCCUAAAGCUGGAAGGGCCCCCCGCUCCCUUCCCCCCGGUGAAACCUCUUUCGCAAAUUCUUUGCGCUCUCUUUUAUAGCUUUCAUGAAUCAAGCCUAGGACUAUUCUUUCAGUGGAAGGUGCAAAGUGCCGGGCUGAGGCUGAAUGAAAUAUGAGAGGAGGCUCAAAGAAUUUGAGGAGCAUUUAUCUAAGAAGAGAAAACGAGUCAAGAGGACGGAGUGCAGAGUCUGAAAUCUGGGUUAAUAUGGAUAGUCCGGAGGACCUAACGGAGGCUCAAAGGAUAUUGAGACAUUCUUUCUUUUUGAUUUUGGAGGGGGGAGCGGUCUUUGCUUUUCCUCUUAGAGAAUGAGUUCUUAGCCUUACUGAAUGCGCUGAACAUCUAUCAUUCUAUAGUCAGAAUGUGGGCUCUCCCGCUGUUGGUGGUUUAGUUCUUUUAAGGGUGGUAGGAUUCAGAUUAGGAGGCUCGUUCGUAGGCUUCGAUGAAUCAAUGAAAAGUUCGCUCAAAGAAUUAUCGAAAGGAAAGUACGAGAGCCAAUCUAAAGUCAAGUAUGCCAGAACUCGUAGCCUUGUGUUGAAAGAGUCUCCUCUUUCUUGUCUUUCUUCUCCCCCCCUAAUCUCUCUCGUCUCGAAAAGACCAAUUUCAGCUUUUCUCUUCCGGCUCUGUGAUUCCUAUUCCCUGAAAUGCGCCUACUCCCCGUUUCUUCCUAAAGAAGUAGGUCGUGGAACAAGAGAGAAAGAAAAAGCCUACCAGUUCGACUAAAGCUUCCGGGCUCGGGCACCCCCCAAAUAGAUUGAAUCUUGAUGAGUCGAAAUUGACUUGCCGGAUCGAGAGAACUUUCCCGGGAACUGCCAACCCUUUCUUUUGAUGCGUCAGCCUCUGGGAACAAUAUAAUUUACCUGCUUGCCUACCCCACGGAGGGGGAAAUCUUUCUGUCGAAAGGCAAAGAAUGUGAUGUGGGUAGUCUGAUUCUUCUCUUCCUCUUUAUCUUAGGCGGGAUCCCUUUUCAGGUCUUUUUCACUAUGUAGGUAUCCCUACCUUGCUUGUCUUUCAAUGCCCUCCUUUCCUUAAGGCUACUUCAGGGAGUUCCUCCAAACCAAAUCCUACGACUAGGGACUUUCGUCUUUACUAAAAGCCUUCUAUUCAGUCUCAAUCUCUCUGACUUUAGGGAGGCCCGCAAGAAUGAAAUGCUUUGAUUGAAUUUUCUCAUUCUAGCGUUCACGGCUAGUCUAAAAGAAAGUCAAUAUACUGCCAAAUUUUCUUGAAACUAUCGCAGCUAAAGGUAAACAAGAGAUAUUUGUCGGUCUCAACCCACGGCGUAUAUAAACCCAGGAUUCGACCUCUCACUUUAGAAUGGAUAUUUCCGGGUCGGGGAAAUUCACCUUUUUUUUUCUUUUGUGCGCAACUCAUAUUGCAUUGAGCCUUUGCUUUGCUUGAACUUCUGAUCCCUAGGCUGUUCUUGGACUUGAAACCUACUUAUUUAGAUGAAAGCCUAUGGAGCGGAGCCAAGUUCGAACUAAUAGGCCAUAAGAAAAGCCCACUACGCUACGUAGUCUUGUCUGAUUCUUAGAUAUUAUGUCCUUAUAGUUGUCAAGCUUCUUCCUUCCUUGGAAGGCAGGCCAGGCAUACUCUUUUCCUAUUCAUAUGGUUCUCCUUCUCCUACGUAACGGAGAUUCUUUAUCAAAAGGACAGAUAAGCCCAUAAAAAGUGGAAGAACGACAGCAAAUAGAAACUACUGGGACGCCCUCCUUUGAAGCUGCCUCUUGCCUUUGCCAAUACUGGAAGCUCAUUCUCUUCCAUGAAGCACCCUUCUUCUUUGCUUAUUCAAAGAAUUCCAUGAAAGAAUGAGGCUGAACUCUGAAUAUAGAGGUUACGGGGACGAACAAGACACCUAUUCAAGAUCGAAUACAGCCCCUCGUCGAUCCCCGAGCGAAAGCGAUCUGAACAUGAAAAUUCUUUGAACCUUGUUCGCAAUAUUCUUUGCACCUGAUGGAUAGUCCGAAGGACCUGUCUUAUGGCGCCUAUAUCAAUCAGGAUUCUGAUAAUAGGGGAGGUGGAAGGCAGCUGGGUUAGGAGCUAAAGUCGACGAAUCCCUCAAUUUGCUUUUAGCACAUUUCCGUUUUUAUGGCAUCAAGCAGGAGUUCUUGUUUGAUAAUUGAAUAAAGGGAGACGACUUCGGCUAUGGAAGGGAAGUUAGGCUUCAGAGAAAGAAAAGAAAAGACAGAUAAUUCACCCGCGUUUGGAGUCAUAAACAUAAGUACGUACACCGGAAAAAGGUGUAAAAAAAAGGCGUCUUUUGAUUUCCCAAACCUUCCCAGGCGAAAAAGGCCUGCCCUUACUUUCCGAAACUGACAAGGUGAAAGCCUCUUAGUUUCCUAGAGAGAAUUCAGAGGUUAGCUCCUAGCUAGCCAAGAGCUCAAAAAGAAGAAAGUCAAAAACAAUGCAAGAGCAGCCCGGUCACAUCAGACGAUUCAUCCUCAUAUCUUUGUCUCAAUCCGGAAGAGGCGAAAGGAAGAACAUCCAGCCCCGUCCUUCUCACGCAAUAUGCUUUGCGCCUUGUUGCAGGAUUUCUACGAUUUCUGAGAUUUUAGAGAGAUAUAUAGAAAUCUCAUUUUUUUUUGAUGAGACCUGUCCGAAGGACUAUGAAUCAUAUUUUCGAGAAUAGAUUGAGAUUGGGAAUCUUUGCUAAACCCCCGGGAAAAGGGUAGGAAAUCUCUAUUUUCCCCUUUAGUCCAUUUAUCACAUUCAAAGGAGUAAAGGAGGUAUAACUGAAAAAGGGAAAGUGGGCCCAGCCCAGGAUGAGCGAAGGCAGCUUUGGAGAGAGAAAGAAGAAAGAAGGUAAGAUCGAGGCAAAGCAGAUGUUCAAGGGUUCACGCCCUCGGAUCGAGACCCGAGCCCAGUCUGAGUACUCCUAUCGAGAUAGGGAGCCCCAUGAAAAGAAAGACGAAGCUCUCCCAGCAGAGUUGGAGAAAGAUGAUCAUUCUUCAUUCUUCAAAACCUACUAUUCUUCUAUAAAAAGAGAAAAAGAAAUUCCAAGGGAGCGGAAUUCAGCCUAUCCUGAUAAAGACUAUUCAUAAGACUGGAGGGGUCCGGAGGACUAUUCAAACUCAAAGAGCAAAAUCUCAAAUUCGCAAGUCAAAUUCUCUAAUGGAUAGGCCUUUAAAGUGGGCGCAGUUGAGGUCUACAAUAUCCAUUCUUCCCGCGUAGUGGGUAUCUUGCUUUCGCAAUAUUCUUUGCUCCUUCACCCCUAUCCUUGGAAGUCGAGCCCCUUCUCGCGCCCCCUAGCUUGAUCUUCCCCUGGAGCCCACGUAGCGGUGGGGUGGUUCCAGAGUCCCAUUCGGAGACAGACCCACGGAGCGGGAAAGAUUUCCGAUCCUUAAGUAAUGAAAUACCCUUCCUUUUUCUUAUCUUAGGAGAAGCACACUCGACAGGAAGAGUCCUACGUAGCUUAAUUUAAGAAAGCCUACCUUUUUCAUUCACAAAUAGCGUCAAUAUUCUUUGAACCUCUUUCUUUUGCAUUCCCAUUUUGAGCUUCUUUCAUUCUCGUUAAUGAGUUCAUUCUGCUUUCAUUAUCGUUAAUGAGCUGUCCUACGUGCCAAAGAAAGGUCCAGGUGAUUGGAAGUCUUAGGGGAAAAGAAAAGUAAGCCAGCCUUAAAUCACUUUGCUCCUAACUCCCACUAUUUAAAUAGCUCCGGACGAGUCUGAUUCCAAAAAAAAGCUAUUAUAUUCAUCAAGGCGGAAUUUUCUUUCGUAUUACUUUUUAGAAAGAGUCUAUUCUCGAGUGGAAGAUAUUGAUCUUCUUAGGCACAGCCCGUUCCAAGGAAGCACUGAGACUAGGUUUUGAUUCUGAGACAAGGAUAUCUUCUGCGAACUUCUUGCUUUCCCUUAUACUUAGCUAUCUUAGCUUGGCAUCUACUCUACUUUCACUAGAUGCACAACUCUGACGAACUGACGCAUUUAUUUCAAGAAGGGAACUCGUAAGGCUGAGCUGCCGUCUUGAGGUGGGGAAGAAGAAAGACAAGGGAAAAGAAAAGUAUAUGGAAGAGCGGGAAGAAAUUGAAUCAGUGAUCGCUGAAGGUAGUUUACUAGCUUACUUCUUAGAGUCAGGCAAUACAUACUCCUUUCAAGCUUUUUUGAUCCCCUCUUUCUAAUAUAAUAAAGGAGUAGAUUCAAGCAAAAAAGCUCUUUCCGCUUCCGCUUCUGAAUCUGGAUGGGUUGGAAAUGAAGUUAGGGUUUAGGGCUAGUGAGUUACUAGACGUUCGUGAAGGCAGACGCGCUCGUAGACAGAAAAGGCUUUGAGCGAAGCGAGACUUCUUGAAUUAGUCAAAAGACUGAAACUGAGUCAUAGGUCAAAAGUCUACCUGGAAAUAAAAGGAAGAAAGCAAUCAAAAAAGUUCAGACCGGGUAGAUUCAUUCUGAAAAAUUCUUUGAACCCGUAGUUAGGCGCAAAGAAUAUUGCGUGAGAGAGCGAAAGACAAAGAAAAGAGAAAGGUUCUUUUCUUAUCUUUUGAGAUGAUGUCCAUUCCAUUUGCAGCUACCCCUUAGUUCCGGUUAAACCACCGGUUGCGGGCGUGGCCAUUCUUCUUUGAAGUCCCGGGUUUCAAAUCCCUUGAAAGUCUUGACUUCUCGACCCCUUCAACUGGGGGAGCUCUCUCAUGGGGUCCUCCCCACGGACUUCUUAUCCUGCUCUUGGAACCAAUCGUAUUCAUUCUUUAUAAGCUCCCCAUAAAUGAAAGGUAGUGUGAGAGAUCUUGACUGAGGGUUCUUUUCUCCUUAAUAUUCAUGGCUUUUAAUCCGACUGACUUAUCCAGCAAGGGACCCCUUCGCCCUUGGUCCCUUUUCCUUAGGCCGGGCGUUCUAAUGGAUAGUCCGGAGGACUGAUACAUCGACUGAAAUAUCAGACUAUGAAACUGAUCGAAUUCAUCGAAGAAGAUCUAAUAGCGGGCCUCUCUUUACGGUCAAUCCUUUGAGGCUUCCGCACCCACUCAAUCAGGUGUGGCGGACUCAUUCUCUACCCUUCGGGCUAACUCCCAAUCUUCUAUAAUCCAAGGUGCAAAGAAUAUUGCGGAGUUCUUUCAGUUGAUGAGAUCAGAAGCGAGACUACAUCAAAGGAGAGGUUCUCAUACGACUGAAUAGAGAAAGCUGGAUCCGCUGAGGCUGAAUCGGCUGAAAGGGAUAGGUUAGUAGCUCUCCCGUUUUAGUCAAGCAAUUCUUUCUUCUCUUUUUUUCUAGAUGUAGAUUGAGACCUUCUUUGUUGACGAGGUCACAUCCAGAUCGUCAAUAGUUCCAGUUCCGGUAGGGUGGUUAUGGGCUUGAUCCAGAGUCAUCCGUAUCGGAAGAGGUUAUGAAAUAUGCUUUUCCAGAGGGAGAGUAGUAUCCAUAGACGAAGAGGAAGAGCUCUUAGCAGCCCGAGAAGCUAGGUAGCAUCCGGUUCAAGGAGAGGUUAAGCUUGAUAAAGAAGUCCUUCGGACGGGGGAGAGGGAGCAAGACGGCAAGAAUUGUAGGUCCUACGGACUACUUUUUUUCGGGGGAGCAAGAGGGACAGAAGGGUGUCGGGGUCGGGGUAGGGCACCCCUCUCAUAAAUGAGGCACCUCAUCUCCGGUUCAGUCAUAUAUUAAUCAUCAUAUUUCAAGCUAGUUAUCCAGCAACGAGAACAAAAGAAAGAAGAAAGACAACUCAUCUGGAGUCUUUGUCUUUGGAGUUCUAGUGCUAGUGCGGGUGAAAGCUAAAGUCUCUACAAUCAUAAAAAAGGGUUAAGUUUCUUUCUAUGUUUUGGACAGGUGUGCAUUUGCUUAGCACAGUCAUUCUGUAAUUCAGAAUCAUGAAGGAGUAGAAAUGCAGAGUUCUGGCUGGGACAAACUCCCACCAUUAGGCUCGUACAAAGGGCCCAAAGCCAGAUGCAUCGGCGAGAAGGUUGAAUAGUGGCUCAACUGAGUUUACGAACGAGAAGGGAAAAAGGCCCACUCCACUGGUGGAAGCCACCACUCCUUAGUUUAGGCGGCUCUUUCUCACGCAAUAUGCUUUGCGCCUUGUUCUUGCCAUAACUUUGAUUUUGAGAAAAGGAGGAUGACUUGGGUGCAGCUCAGCUGGUCGACGUGUGUGUUGUGGAGUUUGCUGGUUCAGUUCUUCUUUCUUUUCUUUUUUCAUGGAUAAAUAAGGCUAAAAGCCUGGCUUCUCACUUCUUUUCCUUGGAUUGUCAGAAAAUUCGACCCCUUAAUUGAAUUGAGUGAAAGGGCUUUCUAUUUGGCUUGGUCUGUAGAUCGAAUGAGAGAUACCGAACACAUCUUUCAUACUCCACUUCCAAAGCAAGAGCUUCAACCGCAAAAGCAAGAAAAAGAGAAAGCGCUCCGUGGGCGGACACUGGGACAUCAACAGCCCAUUCCCCGCUUAGUGGUCUCGCCCUCUCCUUUCAGUCGAGCUAUUUCAUCCCUCUCCUUCGUAAGCUCAUCCUAUCUUGCACUCCUCUUCGCUUCGCUAGGCUUGAUCUUGAUUUGGACAGUCGAUUCAUUUCAUGUCUAGUUCUUUCACAGUUAGUGAAAAGAGCGCUACAUUUCCCUUUUCUACUUUCUUCCUCAAAGAAACUUCCCUCACAACGGGGACCUCCCUAGGACAGUUGAUCGCUACCUUUCCCCUAGGGGUCGGUAUUCUAGUAAUCCCUUGUUCAUUGAUUUCUAUGUGCCAGCUGAAGACCACUUAGACUGCUCCUGCUAAAGCAAGAAAAAGAGAUGGUAGGCUUUCCUUCCUUUUCUUCCAACGGGGACAUCAAACCUUCGGUCGAGCAUUGAAUCAAUCCUCCACGAGCCGCCUUGGGGAGUUAGUUUUCUUGGGAGUUUCCUUUGUCCCUGAACUCUGCCUUAUAGGAUGAGUCUUCCUCAUCUCUCUCCCUGCUCAAGAAAUCAGAAAUUGAAGAAGGCAGUGUCCGUAAUGAGAUCUUUCAUGAUCAGUUGUAGAAUAGGAAGAGAAAGGGGCGAGGCAGCGACCGGGCUUAGAGGAGUCUCAUUCAACAAGGGAUCUAUCCAAGGCUUCCGCUUAAAUGUCUUUUCCCUAGGCUUUCGGCACUCCGGAAAGGUAAUUCUCAGAGUCAGAAGGGGAAGAGUAAGAAAGUAGGGAGACCGUUGCAGCAGUUCUUCUUCCAGCAGAAGUAGCUGUCCUUGCUUUAGUUGUGGCUCUUGCUUUAGUUCUUCUUUCAAAGCUAAUAUGAUAAAUAGAGUGAGUAUAUUCAGAGAAGAAGCGGAAAGAGAUCAAUGAAGAAAAAUCAAGCUCCUUCUCAAUCAGUCCUAUCCAUUUUUUCUGUAAGGAGAGGACGACAAGGAAGAGAAAGAGGAAUUAAGAAGGCAAAUAAAAGGAAAAGUAUGAAAAGGAAGAAAGAGCCGUCUAAAAGCCAGAGGAGAGAAUAAUCAGCCAGAGGAGACAGGCUCGACUCUCGUUCCUCUCAUUUCCGCUUUUCAUGCCUUUCUUUUUGGGUCAAAGAAUUUGAGAGUUGGAGAACCUUAGUGAGAAUGUGAGAAAACCCACGGGGAGCGGUUUGGGGCCUAGGUGGAAUGGAAGAGAUGAAAAGAACGCCAAAUGCACUCUUUUUUGAUUCAAUGCCCUUUCUAUAUUUUCUCGCAUAAACCCGAAAAUCCACGGCUUUCCCCUACGGAAUCCUCUCUUGCACAAGGCGUCUAUGACCUAACCAUGAAAUCCUUUCGUGAGAAUGAGAAUGAAAGGGGCACGCACGAUCAUCUUCUCAAAAUUGGAUAAAAGGACUAAAGCGCGAAAACGAAAGUACGGUUUAAAGACCUCUCCCUCUCUUUCUUAUGUAUGUGGUCGGUUCUCACCCUUAAAUAGCAGCGGCGGGGAGGCUCAAAGAAUUUGAGUGUGGGUUGCAAGAUUUUCGAGUAAUUACUUAAGAUCAAGAAUCAAAGCGAGUACAUUUUGGUUGAAGGAGUCAAAUCAUCUUUGAAUUGACUUGUGGGAAAUAGGAACCAGCCCAAGAAAAAAGAUCUGAUUUGGCCGGUCCGGAGAAGAAUAUUGAUGAGAAAUAUGAGAACUAAGAAAAAGGACCAGAGCCAUAAAUCAGUCCAAGAAACCUACGGCAUAUGGAGUCUAGGCUUGAUUUGACUUUCUUCUUUUUAGUUACUAAAUAGGGAUUGGAUUUGACAUUCUUCCAUUUCCCGACAUUCAAGACCUACUUUUUCGUGCCCGGUUCCGUUCCAAGAAAAGAAAGAAAGGUUUCAAACAAAGCGCGGUGGCCCAUUGACGAGGUAGGGGCGGGAUUCCUCCUCCCCGUGGUUGAGUGAAGAACUCAAGAGGCGUCACAUGCCAUCCCGCGUAGUGGGAUCCCCGCGAAGGUCCCCAAUUCGCUGAGACUGAAAAGAAAUAAUCUACUAAAACGAAGUAUAUUCACAAAUUUCUAUAUAGCAUAAUAAAUAGUCUCAUUCUAUUAAUGAAAUAUGGAACUCAAAAGAAGAAUUCGGAAACAGGGCGUUCUCGGGCUAGCCGUCGUCGUUGAGUCAGGUCUUCAGUAUUUCAGUUUACAGGUUUAGAGUCUGAGAUCUUAUCUAGGAAUCCGUCUCUCCAGUUAGUCUUGGGUCUACGAACUUGAUCAAAGAGGAAAUAUCAUCAGCAUAGGACCCAUUUUCAUUGAUUACUGAGUUCACGAGAAGGAUUUAGCCCUCAAGAGGAGAACCGGCGCUCAAUCGUAAGCUCGACACCUGCCUGAUUCGGAAGCGAGAACAAAGCCUAAAGAAGAAAGCCAUAAAAAAAGUUAAGACGUCAACUCCUCUCCUUACAGUCGAGCCUCGGCUUUCUUUUCACUCCGAAAGUCAUUCAUUCUAUUAAAUAGCGAGACCAGUCCUCCGGACGGGAAGAAGAAGAUCGACUUAAGUCAAUGAAGAAAGUCAAUAUUCUCCCUGAGGCUACAUUCUAGAAGUUCAUAAAGACAUUUAAGCAGAAGCAAGAUAAGAUAGAGAAUCUGAAAUUGAGUAAAUGCCAUAGGCUGAAUGCAAGAAAAGACCGCGUAGUGCGUCAGCAGAGAGGAGACGGAGUUGUAGUAGUUGAUCAGAGCUAAGCUCGACAGAAUCCAUAAAAUCUAGAGGUGCUCGACCUCUUCUUUCAUUAUCCGUUGAGGAAGGGUACGCAACUCGAUCGGUCCUCCGGACUAUUCGCUAUUCGGUAUUGAAAAGAAAGGCGUAUUUCAAUCAAAUUCACCCGAAGCAGAAUAAGCAGCUGAAAGAGCGCGCUCACCCCAUCAGGGCAGGGGAAGAAGCAGUACCUAGAUAAGUUCUUGUCCCAGUCGCCGACGUUGUUCCCGCUUCAGAGGCAGAAAAAGUAGCCUAAGUUGCAGUCGCUCUAGCUUCAUAAGUUCGUCUUCUUGUUCCAUAUCCUUGGUCCGAGGAAUCUUGCUUGGUUUCGGGAAUGAGAAAGAUCUCUGUCCCAAGGCAAAUAGCCUAACUGCAAACGAGAUUGAUUGACUUUGACAUUCAGAUCUUUGCUUCUCUUUUUUACUCUUUUGUGACUCCUUCAACCCGUCUCAUUGAUAAGGACAUGUAGGCGCGAAGAAGAAAGAAAGAAAGAAGUGGAAUAAAGAGGGAAGGAAAGCCUAGGAGAUUGGAGAUUCUAGUCAGAAGAAGAAGACACUCUCUCAAGAAUAUCCCUGUCUUAUGGCACCUCGCCCUCAAAUUCUUCCCGUCCUCCCGUCCAGAUCCCCCAACUAAAAAAGGGAAGGUUCAAAGAAGAAAAAUCAGGCGCGGGUGCAGAUGACUAUCCAUUAGGGAAUUUGACUUUGGAGGCGCAAUGAAAUAUGCGUUGAGGAUCCAUUCAAAGUUCAGCGGGAAGAACUGGUCCGGAGGAUUUAUCCGUAGGACUCUAAAACGGAGGACCCAAAGAAAGAUUAGACUUUUCCGCAAUAUUCUUUGCGCCUUAUCUUUUUCCACUAAGUUUUAGGAGGAGUAUUAAGACCGAAGGACUAUGAAGAAUAUUUGAGUUUCUAGGAUGACUAAAAAUCCUUUCUUUCAAAGUACCGCGUAGUGGGUGAACAAGGUUCAAAGAAGAUUUCAUUGUUUUCUUCCUCUCCAGCUUGACUUUAGAUCUCAGGAGAGCUCUUUCUUUCAUUCUAGCCCACGCCUAGCCUUUUUUCUCUCGCCCACUACUAGUACUAGAACGAACAAAAAAAGCUUUCUAGGCCCCUUUGGGAAUCGUUCUUUAUCAUCAAUCGAAUGGAACCAAGGUUCAAAGAAUAUUUCAAGUCCAAGAACAAGAAAGUUCAGUCAAGAAUUUCAUUUUGAUGCAAAAGGCUGAAUGAAUAUGAGAGGACUAUUCGCUAUGAUAAAAGAGGACAAUGAAAUCAAUCUUCUUUGAACCUCGCAAUAUUCUUUGCGCCUCCGCCUACUUCUCUUUUUAAUAGAGUUCAUGACUUGCGCUCCUUAAUAGAAAGCCGAGCCUUGCCCCGUCCUCAGUCGGUUAAUUACGGAUGGUCCUACGGAUAAAUCACCUGGACCUUUCUUUGGCCCUGCGGACUCCGGACUCCGGACCUGUGACGCCUUCGGACCUGUCUUGGAAAUCUUCUUUGAACCUCCGGACAUGCCCUAGGAAUGAAGCUGAACCUUCGCUUCGAUCACGCAAUAUGCGCCUCCGGACUGAUCCUACAGUCGUCAAAUAUGAUUCAUAGUCCAAAAAUCAAGGUCCAGAUGACAGGCUCAAUGAAAUUUGAGUUUCUGACUCCCGGUAGCGGCAAUAUUCUUUGCGCCUUCUCACAUUCCCCGUCACCUGUCCUACGUGCCAAAGAAAGGUCCAGGUUAUCCUCCGGACUAUCCGUAAUUAACCGAAGGAGGACUUUCCGUAAUUAACCGAACUUUGCGCCUUCUGACUAUGAAAUCUAUUACUUUGAACCUUGUUCAUUGACUUUCUUCCUAGUGCGAGUGAGAGUGAUCCUUUCCCCUUUCACUAUUUAUUCUUUGUGUACUACCUUUGUGUACUACUUCUAUUAAUUCAAUAAAGAAGAGGUCGAGCUCCCUUCAAGGAUUAUCUAAUUCGGGCCGUGCCCUCUCUUCCUCUUCAAAGCCAAAACCGUGGGAAAACCUGGUUAGGAGUGAUUUCCCAACUGCAUACGUGCAUGGUCUUCUUUAGCUUUC